rnacentral:rRNA from 1 species
GACAGAGGUGCCGAGCGUUAGGCGGAAUCACUGGGCUUAAAGCGUGUGUAGGCGGAUCGUUUAAGUGCCUUUGUGAAAUCCCACGGCUCAACCGUGGAACUGCUUGGCAUACUGGCGAUCUUUGAGCCACUUAGGGGCUACCGGAACAAAUGGUGGAGCGGUGAAAUGCGUAGAUAUCAUUUGGAACGCCAAUGGUGAAAACAGGUAGCUGGGAGUGUGCUGACGCUGAGACACGAAAGCCAGGGGAGCAAACGGGG